AAACAUCUGUGCUGUGUCUGCUCUUUCUGAUCUCACUGCUGAGCUGCACAACAAACCAAGGUCAGUAACCUUCUUCUGUCACAGUUUAAACCUGAGAAAUGCUCACUGAUAUGACCUGAUUGGGUUCAUGUUUGAAGAAUAUAUGCAUACGGAUAUAUAAAACUGAUGAAAUAAAAGAUUAGGUGAUCACACCGCUGUUUUAACACUAGUCUAACAGAUCCACAGUUUUUUAUUUUAACCCUCACAGCUCGUCUGACUGUGAGUCCCAGCAGCUCUCAGUUCUUUGAAGGAGACUUUGUGUCUCUGAGCUGUGAGGAGGACGACAGCUCUGCUGGAUGGACUCUGAGGAGAAACACAAGCAAACAACAGAGGACUCAGUGUGGAGAUGGGUGGGGAACGUCAUUUAACUCUUCCUGUGACAUCAGUUACCUCGUUGAACGAGACAGUGGAGUUUACUGGUGUGAGUCCAGAGAGGGUCCCAUCAGUAACAUGGUUAACCUGACAGUCACUGGUGGAUCAGUGAUCCUGCAGAGUCCUGUCCUCCCUGUGAUGGAGGGAGAUGACGUCACUCUG